AACGAACGCUGGCGGCAUGCCUAACACAUGCAAGUCGAACGAGACCUUCGGGUCUAGUGGCGCACGGGUGCGUAACGCGUGGGAACCUGCACUUAGGUUCGGAAUAACUCCCCGACAGGGGUGCUAAUACCGGAUCAUGUCUUCGGACCAAAGAUUUAUCGCCUUUGGAUGGGCCCGCGUUGGAUUAGCUAGUUGGUAGGGUAAAAGCCUACCAAGGCGACGAUCCAUAGCUGGUCUGAGAGGAUGAUCAGCCACACUGGGACUGAGACACGGCCCAGACUCCUACGGGGGGCAGCAGUGGGGAAUAUUGGACAAUGGGCGAAAGCCUGAUCCAGCAAUGCCGCGUGAGUGAUGAAGGCCUUAGGGUUGUAAAGCUCUUUUACCCGGGAUGAUAAUGACAGUACCGGGAGAAUAAGCUCCGGCUAACUCCGUG
rnacentral:rRNA from 1 species